CCUGCCCCAGAGGCAUUGUGUCAGUAGAGGGCAGAGAAGAGAAAACUUUUAUCUAUUUUCAGGGUUCUGACCUAUGAACAUCAUAAUGAUUAGUUGCCUAACAUU
ensembl:snoRNA LOC120099509 small nucleolar RNA SNORA17